UUCUACGGGGGGCAGCAGUCGGGAAUAUUGCGCAAUGGAGGAAACUCUGACGCAGUGACGCCGCGCGCAGGAAGAAGGUUUUCGGAUUGUAAACUGCUUUAGACAGGGAAGAUAAUGACAGUACCUGUAGAAAAAGCAUCGGCUAACUCCGUGCCAGCAGCCGCGGUAAUACGGAGGAUGCGAGCGUUAUCCGGAUUUAUUGGGUUUAAAGGGUGCGCAGGCGGUCUGUUAAGUCAGCGGUCAAAGCCCGGGGCUCAACCCCGGCCCGCCGUUGAAACUGGCAGUCUCGAGUUGGAGAGAAGUAU
rnacentral:rRNA from 1 species